rnacentral:rRNA from 1 species
UAGCCGGCCUGAGAGGGUGACCGGCCACACUGGGACUGAGACACGGCCCAGACUCCUACGGGAGGCAGCAGUGGGGAAUAUUGCACAAUGGGCGAAAGCCUGAUGCAGCGACGCCGCGUGAGGGAUGACGGCCUUCGGGUUGUAAACCUCUUUCAGUAGGGAAGAAGCGAAAGUGACGGUACCUGCAGAAGAAGCGCCGGCUAACUACGUGCCAGCAGCCGCGGUAAUACGUAGGGCGCAAGCGUUAUCCGGAUUUAUUGGGCGUAAAGAGCUCGUAGGCGGUUUGUCGCGUCUGCCGUGAAAGUCCGAGGCUCAACCUCGGAUCUGCGGUGGGUACGGGCAGACUAGAGUGAUGUAGGGGAGACUGGAAUUCCUGGUGUAGCGGUGAAAUGCGCAGAUAUCAGGAGGAACACCGAUGGCGAAGGCAGGUCUCUGGGCAUCUACUGACGCUGAGGAGCGAAAGCAUGGGGAGCGAACAGGAUUAGAUACCCUGGUAGUCCAUGCCGUAAACGUUGGGCACUAGGUGUGGGGAACAUUCCACGUUUUCCGCGCCGUAGCUAACGCAUUAAGUGCCCCGCCUGGGGAAGUACGGGA